CCUACGGGAGGCAGCAGUGGGGAAUAUUGGACAAUGGGCGAAAGCCUGAUCCAGCCAUGCCGCGUGUGUGAAGAAGGCCUUCGGGUUGUAAAGCACUUUCAGUGGGGAAGAAAGCCUUGGGGCUAAUACCCUCGAGGAAGGACAUCACCCACAGAAGAAGCACCGGCUAACUCCGUGCCAGCAGCCGCGGUAAUACGGAGGGUGCGAGCGUUAAUCGGAAUUACUGGGCGUAAAGUGCGCGUAGGCGGUCUGAUAAGCCGGUUGUGAAAGCCCCGGGCUCAACCUGGGAACGGCAUCCGGAACUGUCAGGCUAGAGUGCAGGAGAGGAAGGUAGAAUUCCCGGUGUAGCGGUGAAAUGCGUAGAGAUCGGGAGGAAUACCAGUGGCGAAGGCGGCCUUCUGGACUGACACUGACGCUGAGGUGCGAAAGCGUGGGUAGCAAACAGGAUUAGAUACCCGUGUAGUC
rnacentral:rRNA from 1 species